rnacentral:rRNA from 1 species
GGGGAAUAUUGCACAAUGGGCGAAAGCCUGAUGCAGCGACGCCGCGUGAGGGAUGGAGGCCUUCGGGUUGUAAACCUCUUUCGCUCAUGGUCAAGCCGCAACACUGGUUGUGGUGAGGGUAGUGGGUAAAGAAGCGCCGGCUAACUACGUGCCAGCAGCCGCGGUAAUACGUAGGGCGCGAGCGUUGUCCGGAAUUAUUGGGCGUAAAGGGCUUGUAGGCGGUUGGUCGCGUCUGCCGUGAAAUCCUCUGGCUUAACUGGGGGCGUGCGGUGGGUACGGGCUGACUUGAGUGCGGUAGGGGAGACUGGAACUCCUGGUGUAGCGGUGGAAUGCGCAGAUAUCAGGAAGAACACCGGUGGCGAAGGCGGGUCUCUGGGCCGUUACUGACGCUGAGGAGCGAAAGCGUGGGGAGCGAACAGGAUUAGAUACCCUGGUAGUCCACGCUGUAAACGUUGGGCACUAGGUGUGGGGGCCACCCGUGGUUUCUGCGCCGUAGCUAACGCUUUAAGUGCCCCGCCUGGGGAGUACGGCCGCAAGGCUA